AUAUUGAGUCUUAUUUUAGCUUUAAAGGGAAUGUCACCGGGUGCGGUGGCUCAUGCCUCUAAUCCCAGCACUUUGGGAGGCCAAGGCGUGGGAAUCACCUGAGGUCAGGAGUUUGAGACCAGCCUGGCCAACAUGGUGAAACCCCGCCUCUACUAAAAAUACAAAAUUAGCCGGGUGUGGUGGUGCAUGCCUGUAAUCCCAGCUACUCUGGAGGCUGAGACAAGAGAAUCGUCUAGAACGUGGGAGGCAGAGGUUGCAGUGAGCUGAGAUCACGCCAGCCUGGGUGACAGAGCAAGACUCUGUCUCAAAGAAAAAAAAAAAGGAAUGUCUAGAUGCAGUAGCUAAGUACACAGAAGCCAUUUCAGUGUGGGAGGCGAGGUGACUGAAUCCAGGGACUCCAGGUUUCUGGCUGUGGGGUUGAGACCGCCCAUGGUCAUUGUGAUGAGAUGAAGACAGAAAAUGAGUUGGGCUGGGGGAAGGUGGUCAUCUCUGGAAGUGAUUAGUUUGAGACUCCUGUUGGGUAGCCCACUGGGCAAGGUCAGUAGGCAGUUGAGGAGCUGAGAGGGUUUGGAGCUGAGAUAGACUCCAGCCUCACCAUGUGGGCAAUAGUGGGGGUCACAGAGUGUAAAGACGGCCAAGAAAGAGGUCUGGGUGGGGGUCUGGGGAGUCAGCAGCCAGGCAUGGGCCGUGGAGAAACAGAUGCCGGGGAAGAGGAAAGGGGAGUCAGACCUCAAGGGGAAAAGAGUCACUGGAAGGAGGGGCCAGCUCUGUGUCACAUCCAGCAGAGACACCAGGUACAGCAGAAGGACCUUGGACAUGACCAUGAGGAGGGCCUUGUUGGCCAUGACCUGGGAUGGAUGGGGGUGAGAGCCUGGGGGACCACACCAUGUCCCCAGUACACGAAACAGUGCCUGGUAGACAGGAUGGAUUUAUGGAUGGAUGGAUAGGUAGGUGGAUGAAUGGACAGAUGAUAGAUGGAUGCAAAGACAGAUGAAUAGAUGGACAGAUGGAUGGACGGACAGACGGAAUGAAUGAUCAGAAAAGGCUUCAUGAACAAAGUGAGACUGAGCUGCAUCUCCAUGGGUAGAUACAAAAGCAGAGGACUCUCCUCUUGAGUCAGGAAUGACCCAAUGUCCUGGUCCAGGGAGCAAGUCAACUUGGCUUGACUGCAGACACUUGUGGCAGAUUUCAGAGGCCCUUAAAAUGAGGCCAAGUGAGGUGGACAGGUCCGAGCCAGCUGAGGACUCCUCAGCCACACGGCACAGCUGCCUGAGGGGAUGUGUCACUCAGGGAGUUGCUGGGACCUACUGGGCCCAGCGUUGCCAUCAGCACCAACAGCUUCAGAGAGGGGGACAUAUGCUGGGGUGACUCCAAGGCUGUGGGCGGCACCUGCCUCAGAUAGAGAACAGGCACAGAGACACUACUGGGGGACACUACUGGGAUACUGGCCACCCCCCUGCCCUGUGCCUGGGUCACAGCCUACACACUGCAGCCCUGUGCCCCUCACACCCAGCAGGUUCCUGCUCCAGCGUGGCUCCUGGACUGGCGCCAGAUGCUGGCCCUGGGGGUUUCAAUCCAAGCAUAAUUCAGUGAAGCAUGUGUUUGGCAGUGGGACCCAGCUCACUGUUUUAGGUCAGCCCAAGACUACCCCGUCGGUCAUUCUGUUCCUGCCGUCCUGUGAGGAGCCCCAAGCCAACAAGGCCACACUGGUGUGUCUCAUGAAUAACUUUAUCCGGGAAUCUUGAUGGUGACCUGGAAGGCAGAUGGUACCCUCAUCACCCAGAGCGUGGAGAAGACCACGCCCUCCAAACAGAGCAACAACAAGUACGUGGCCAGCAGCUACCUGAGCCUGACGCCCGAGCAGUGGAGGUCCCGCAGAAGCUACAGCUGCCAGGUUAUGCAAGAAGGGAGCACCGUGGAGAAGUCAGUGGCCCCUGCAGAAUGUUCAUAGGUUCCAGCCCCCACCCCACCCACAGGGGCCUGGAGCUGCAGGAUCCCAGGGGAGGGGUCUCUCUCUGCAUCCCAAGCCAUUCAGCCCUUCUCGCUGUACCCAGUAAACCCUCAAUAAAUAUCUUUGUCAGCCAG
rnacentral:lncRNA from 1 species